rnacentral:tRNA from 1 species
UUCCCUGUGGCUCAGUUGGUAGAGCGUGGUAUUUGCAAUGCCAGGGUUGUAGGUUCGAUUCCCACGGGGGGGG